GCGAUGGUGGUAUAGUGGUUAGCAUAGUUGACUUCCAAGCAAUUGACCCUAGUCUGAUUCUCGGCUAUCGCA
rfam:Daphnia pulex DAPPTscaffold_390_Cont9288, whole genome shotgun sequence.